GCUGGGUGCGGUGGUGCAUGCCUGUAAUCCCAGCUGCUCAGGAGGCUGAGGCAGGAGCAUCUUGAGUUCAAAGUCAGCCUCACCAACUCGAGGCACUAAACAACUCAGUGAGACCCUGUCUCUA
rnacentral:sRNA from 1 species